CAGUAGCCGCGGUAAUACGUAGGUGGCAAGCGUUGUCCGAAAUUAUUGGGCGUAAAGGGCUCGCAGGCGGUUUCUUAAGUCUGAUGUGAAAGCCCCCGGCUCAACCGGGGAGGGUCAUUGGAAACUGGGAAACUUGAGUGCAGAAGAGGAGAGUGGAAUUCCACGUGUAGCGGUGAAAUGCGUAGAGAUGUGGAGGAACGCCAGUGGCGAAGGCGACUCUCUGGUCUGUAACUGACGCUGAGGAGCGAAAGCGUGGGGAGCGAACAGGAUUAGAUACCCGCGUAGUCCCUGUCUCUUAUAC
rnacentral:rRNA from 1 species